GACGAACGCUGGCGGCGUGCUUAACACAUGCAAGUCGAACGGAAAGGCCCCUUUGGGGGUACUCGAGAGGCGCAAGGGUGAGUAAAACGUGAGUAACCUGCCCUUGACUUCGGGGUAACAUCAGGAAACUGGGGCUAAUACCGGAUAGGAAACCUUGCUGCAUGGGGGGGUUGGAAAGCUUUGUUGGUUUUGGGUGGACUCGCGGCUUAAUCGCUUGUUGGGGGGGUAGUGGCUUACCAAGGCUUUGACGGGUAGCCGGCCUGAGAGGGCGACCGGCCACAUUGGGACUGAGAUACGGCCCAGACUCCUACGGGAGGCAGCAGUGGGGAAUAUUGCACAAUGGGCGGAAGCCUGAUGCAGCAACGCCGCGUGCGGGAUGACGGCCUUCGGGUUGUAAACCGCUUUCAGCAGGGGCGAAGCUUGUGGUGACGGUACCUGCAGAAGAAGCACCGGCUAACUACGUG
rnacentral:rRNA from 1 species